ACCCUAAACAAUACGGCCUGCUAUAAUGCAAGUCGAGCGAUGGAUUAAGAGCUUGCUCUUAUGAAGUUAGCGGCGGACGGGUGAGUAACACGUGGGUAACCUGCCCAUAAGACUGGGAUAACUCCGGGAAACCGGGGCUAAUACCGGAUAACAUUUUGAACCGCAUGGUUCGAAAUUGAAAGGCGGCUUCGGCUGUCACUUAUGGAUGGACCCGCGUCGCAUUAGCUAGUUGGUGAGGUAACGGCUCACCAAGGCAACGAUGCGUAGCCGACCUGAGAGGGUGAUCGGCCACACUGGGACUGAGACACGGCCCAGACUCCUACGGGAGGCAGCAGUAGGGAAUCUUCCGCAAUGGACGAAAGUCUGACGGAGCAACGCCGCGUGAGUGAUGAAGGCUUUCGGGUCGUAAAACUCUGUUGUUAGGGAAGAACAAGUGCUAGUUGAAUAAGCUGGCACCUUGACGGUACCUAACCAGAAAGCCACGGCUAACUACGUGCCAGCAGCCGCGGUAAUACGUAGGUGGCAAGCGUUAUCCGGAAUUAUUGGGCGUAAAGCGCGCGCAGGUGGUUUCUUAAGUCUGAUGUGAAAGCCCACGGCUCAACCGUGGAGGGUCAUUGGAAACUGGGAGACUUGAGUGCAGAAGAGGAAAGUGGAAUUCCAUGUGUAGCGGUGAAAUGCGUAGAGAUAUGGAGGAACACCAGUGGCGAAAGCGACUUUU
rnacentral:rRNA from 1 species